AUCCACUGCUAUUUCUAGCGCGAAGAAAUUUUCCCCUCCCGCGCCUCACGCCAUCUCGCUCCGCCCCCCCUGCACAGCGGCGACGCAUCUCUCCGCCCCAGCGACGCCGUCACUUCUCUCCGCCCCGAUCUUGCCCCGCCACUCCAGAUCAAGAGCAUGGUUACCUGAAUCGAUCUUUUUCCAGACCAAAUUAAGUUGCGGUGGUGCUUGUCCCGCGUCACGCCGCCGCCCAGGCUCCGCGCGAUCCCGCCGCCGACGCGUCGCCGCCCAGCCUCCGCACACUCCCGCCGCCGCCUACUAGAACCACCACCUCCUGCCACCGCCUACUAAUUACGCGCGCUCACGCUGUCGCUGCAGUGGCUGGGCGACGAGCUCGCCUCGCUCGCGCUCCCCAAGCUCGACUCCUACGCGUGCGGCGUGCGCAAGGCUCCUGCAGCGCUGCAUCACAUCAGGGGACCUGUGAGUAGCGUCAAUAGCAGGGGACACUAGACAAGAAUAGGCCGAAGGUAUCUAUCUAUCCCAAUCCUUAGGGCUCGCUCUAUCACCUGCCUGGUUCAUAGUUCCAUGAAUUUGUCACGAGCCAGUGCAAUGCACUACUCCCACUCAAUAAUUUUGGAUCUGCACCUGCCAGCUAUUGAUUAAUCAAAGCAACACUACUAAAAAAUGCUUUUGCACCAGAUCUGAUUUGUGGAUGCGACUCUGAGUCCUUGGACUAGAGCAUUCAGUACUUAGUUUUAGUGCUUAGUUUAUUCUUUAUAUUAAGGUAGUUCUUGGUUCAUACAACGAGAAGACUUGUUUCAGUGUCAUUGGGAACAAGAGUAGCUUCUACUCUUCUUCUUGUGUUAGCACUGGCCUGGACUAAUAUGUAGGAUUCUACAUUUGCUAAGUUGAGCGCCAAAGUCCAAGUGGUGUGCCAUACCAAGAGCAUAUCAACCUUGUGCAGGAGCUAUACAAAGGAAAGAAGCCAAGGCUGGGCAAGCCAUUUGUCAUGUUGCACUGUUGGGUCUUGCUCCAACACAAUCAGAAGUGGCUUACAAGGAAAGAUGAGGCUCCACCUAAAAGGCAGAAGUCAAGAAACUCCUCUCUUCAGUUCGAGGGUUUUCAAGAUGUUGUUGAUGAUGGAAUACUAGAUGAGGAUAGGAGAGGCAGUAGUCCAACUGCAAGCUCUGAGGCACCCACAAGGACACGACCUCCAGGAAGAAAGGCUGAGAAAGAGAAGUUGAAGAGGGGAGCAGGAGGUGGCGCGUACAAGGAAGUGUUCCAAGAAAUGCUUACUAAAAGAGAAGAGAUGGAGGCUCGCAAGGAAGCAAGGUGGAUAGAGGUCAAGGCAAUGGAGGAGCGGAAGGCGGCCUUCAAGGAGCGAAAGGUGGCAAUUGAGGAGGAAAAGCUGAGGAUCAUGGGCAACAAGGUGGUGAACAAAAAUUUGGAGCGAGAGCAGAAAAUCAUGUUCAUGGACACAAGUUGUCUUGAUGAUCAGCAAAAAGCAUAUGUAAGUACAAUGCGUGCACGUAUCUUGGCAGCAGAGAUGGGUGGUUUUGAAGGUGGGACUUCGAAUGGAAGUAAUGGUCUUUGAUGAAUUGUGCCAUGGAAGGAUGGUUGAUUUACUUUUGAUAGUUCCUUUACUAUUGAUACUUCCAUUUGCAUGAACUUGUAAGCUAUAUGCCAAGAAAGAUGGCAAAUAAUUGUGGAUAUGAUAGGACAAUACCAGAUUUGGUAUCUCUUUUCUUUAAGAAUAUACUGCUACCAGAUUUUGUCAGGACAAUACGUUCUUA